GCCCCUGCAAGCAGGGAGGUUCCUUCUGUGUCCCCUUGGCCUUCGACACAUGCCUGCAUGUAGGCAGCCGAACUUAGGAUUGAGGCUGGGGAACCGGUUGUCUUUCUCUACUUGGUGACCUCCUCUGGGGGCAAGAGAUCAGAGAACUGUCUCCACCAUCUCCACCCCUUUCUCCUGGCCCAGACUCUUUCAAAGGGGAGGGUCUGUUUCCCUGACAGCCUGUGGUCCUUGGAGGUAGGGCAGGGGCAGCUGACCCCAGGGCCCAUUGCUCCCAGAUCACCUGGCUGCGCCCCUCCCACCUGCCAUCUCCAUGGCACCUGUGGAAUUGGCUCUGCCCUUGCCUGGCUUCCUGCCCAGCUCCAGGAGGCCACCCACCUGAGACAUCAAGGUGUCACAUGCCGAAGACAAACCAACUCCUACAGAAACUCCGCAGACAUUGACAAACUGGCGCCACACACAGGAGGAAACAAGAGCUUGUCAGGUGAGGCCUGAAGAGAGGCCCCUGCAUCUGGGCUGAGCCAGGGUCAGGAAAUGCUGCCCAGCAGGCAGCGGUGGCAGAGGCUCUGCUCAGCAGCCUCAUGUGCUGUGUGCCCCAGGGCCAGACCGCCUCCAUCUCCGGCCCUCAGGUUCCACCUGUGAAGGCAGCUGUCCAGCCACGUGGGCUGUGUCUUCCCAUCCCUGACCAGCCACCCAAGACGGGCCCACCCGGGAACCCGGUGGAGAAGCCUGGGGAGAGAACGUCCCUGCUCUGGGCCAAGCUGGGUACUCACGGCCACCGCGAGGGUCACCGAUGCCAGCUCCACCUUGCCCAGGUGCCCGCAGAACACAGUGCUCACGAUGUAGAUCAUAAAAGUCAGCACCUGGAACAGGAACUGGAGGACAGCGGCCAGGGAUGGCCUGUGACUCCCCCCUCAACCUGCCUCAAGACCAGCAGGGCAGUGGGAACCAAGAGAGGCAUCUAAGGAUUGCACCGGUCACCUAGCCCAGUCCUGGAUCAAGCUUUUGGGUGUGGUUCAGCCCAGGAGAAGGAGGAGUGAGCGAGGGGGGCAGGAAGACAGCAGGCAGGCUGGCCAGUGGCUGUGGGAGGGCUGAAGACAUCCCAAAGGCCCCACUUGGUUCCCAUGUCCACCCCUGCAGCGGAGGAGUGGCCGGCAGGAUUCCGAGAUGCAGCCCCCAGAGCCGCGAGGAGGAAGGAGCAGACCCUGAAGGAGAGGAGGCAGGACAAAUACAAAAAAAAAAAAAGGGUUUGCUACACCCAUGGGCGGCCCCAAACACAGGCACAGCCCCACCCCAGUCAACACGCAGCCUUCUUUUUUGACACAGAAUUCUGAAACGCUCCACUGGAUCCUCCCAGGAUCACCUGGGAGGUCACAUUCCUGCCCUUGUUCUGAUGGUUCUUAUCACAGCACUCUCCAACCUGUGCACCAAAUAGUACCUUUACCACCUGCCUAGAGGAAAGAAGACAUUUUAUCACCAUCGUGAUUGUGAUGAUGACACCAAACAGGAGGAAGUACAGGUGAAAGCUACAGCCCUGCAGGCCAGGCUAUUGCUAGUAUGUCUGACUUCCCUCCUCCAACACCUUCUCCACGUCCUUCUCACCUUUGGCCAGUUCUCAUGGUCAGCCUACCUCUUCCAAAAGGGCAGCCGCAAAUCCUCCUGCAUCCAGGGGACCUGGGCCUGGGGUCUCUGUUAUGUGAAACCAGCUGCUUCCAGCUGACAGGGCCUCUGGGGAGAGCAGUCACCUGCUGGCCUUGGCCUGUCACCUCCUGUCGCAGCAUUGCAGUGAGCCCUGCAGCCAGAAGCAAUACUUCUUGGGAGCCCAUGGCGAUGGGGGUGUUCAGGGAGCCCACACGUGGAGGUAUAGGCAGAAGAAUCCAUCUCACUCCAGGUCACUUUUAAUGAGGACAGCUGGUUCCCGUGCCCCCACCAAGCUGGAAGGUGUUCAGUGCAGACGCCCCGCCAUCAGCUCGGUGACAUCAGGCUUUAUCCAGAGCUGACCAGUGUUCAGCACUCAGCUGCACAGGACAAAGGUCGGGUCAUCUUCCCGAGGGCCAGUCCUAGGCCGAGCAUCUCCAAAAUCCCUUCUCAGGAACAUUCCCAGGAUUUUUGUGAUAGAAGCCAAUGCAUUCCUACAUUUUCUUCGGGAAGACACUCUCCUCCUACACUCCUCUCAGAAUUUCAAUCCCCAGACCCCAGUGGGUUUGACCCUGGGGAGGAGCAAGGGCGAUUACUGACUCCACUGCCAUGCAUUGGCCGCCCCAGGCAAAGGUGGUGCAGGCAGAGUGGGGGGUGGGGGGAAGCCACCUCCUCCAGGUGAGGGGUGUCAGAGCUCCGUGAGUCCUCCAUAGUCUCCUGGCAAUGCCUUCAGGCCCUCCUUUUGUGGUGGUAACUGCAGACUCAGCAGCACCGCCCUGCAGCCACCUGCAGACUCAGCUCCGAGUUGGGUUUUCCAGGAUUCUGCCCCGGAACCUGAGAUACUUUGAGCGGAGCUGCACAUGGCCCCUGUGCGCCAUCCUGUGGCUGGGGCGGGGGGAGCCUCCGAGACUUCAGCCUCUGCCCUCUCUCCAGAGCUUCCAAUGCUGUCAGGAGCAACAUGCCACCCUUCAGUCCUGCAUCUUCUGUGGUCUCAGAUACUGCACACAACAGACGGAUCAGCAGCUCACUCUCAGGAACAGGGCUGCCAAUCCCCUAGAAUAUACAAGCAAGUCCGGGCGAUGCUGGACCCUUUCCCUUCUCAGCUGAUCACUUGUUUCCAAGGCCCUUAUUUCCUGGGGCACAUGGCCUAUGACAUUCUCCCGAUGCCAGUUGCCGUGUCAGCCACGUUCUCUGAUGGAAACAGUAGAAACGAACUGGGAUCAUGUCAGCAGAUGGAAGAAGGGAGGAAGGGGGAGAGGAGAUCAUUAUUGCCAGGUGAUACAGAAGAGGGCUGAGCCGCCAGCCUUGAGAAGGGAGACUCUGGACUCUCAGGGUGAUUCAGGGAAAGGUGACUCAGCCCAAACACCUUCAGUCCCAGAGGCAAAUUCCUGGAAGACUGGGGCAAGAGCCAACCUGAACAAGAAUGGAGGUGGAAAGGGUGGGAAGGAGGGAAGCUGUGAGCUACCUGAAGUGGGGCAGGGGGCCCCCCAGAGGAUGGGAUGCUAUGAAAGUGAAAACAUGGCUACACACCCUGCCUCAUUUAUCUAUUACCAGCCCCCCCAAAAUUGGUGUCUUAAAACCAUUAUCAUCUGUGUCAUGAGUCUGUGCGGCGAGUUGGGUGGUCCUUCUGCCUCCCCUAGUCUAGCUGUGUCUGCAGUCACCGGGGACUGGCCCAGGCUGGCCAGUCUUCCAGGCUCAUGUCCAGGCCGCGGUGGGUGCCUGCUAUCAGCUGAGACUGUCAGUCGGAGCAUCUCCACCUCCCCUCAUAGGACCUCCUCAUGCACCACGGGCAUCUCAGCAUAAAGUGACCUCCCCGUGCACCACAGGCAUCUCAGCAUGGAGCGACCUCCCAACGCACCAUGGACAUCUCAGCAUAGAGUGACCUCCCCACGCACCAUGGGCAUCUCAGCAUGGAGCGAUCUCCCCGCGCACCACAGGCAUCUCAGUAUAGAGUGACCUCCCCACGCACCACGGGCAUCUCAGCAUAGAGUGACCUCCCCAUGCACCACGGGUAUCUCAGCAUGGAGCGACCUCCCCGUGCACCACGGGCAUCUCAGCAUGGAGUGACCUCCCCACGCACCACGGGCAUCUCAGCAUGGAGUGACCUCCCCGUGCACCACGGGCAUCUCAGCAUGGAGCUGGAACAGAAGACAGGACAUUCGAUGGUGCAAGUGGAAGCUGCAUACAGGUCAAGAGCCAGCCUGGGAGGUCCCCAUGCCCCUCUGCCUCAUCCUGUUGACCACAGCUAAUCAUGGACUCGCCCAAAUUUCACAGGAGAGGGAACAGCCUCCACUUCUAGGUGGGAGUGGCCGAGAGGCCAUGCCUUUAACCAGCACUCUCCUCUUCCUCCUUUCUAUUCCUCCCUCUCCAUUCUCUCUUCUGCUCUCUCUUGUGCCACCCGCUGUCCACACUUGGCCCCGAGCAAGGGCAAGCAGAUAAAGACCCCUGAGGUCAGUGAUGAGAGGACUCACGCAUAUCGAGGACCUCUUUGGGGAAGGAGGACCCAAAGCUACAAAAUCCUAGGAAUGGCAGGAGGCACGGGGAGAGGCAAGGGAGUGGAGAGUCCUGGCAAGCCCCCAGCACACACCCUGGGAUUAGGGAGGCUCCCAGCCAGCAAGAGGAAGCUUGACCCAGGGGGAGCUGCUCCCCCAGCCCCAGCAGCCUCGCUGAGGCAGAGCCAAGAGGCAUGUGGGCAUGCCAGGAAGUCCCCCUCACUUGAGGGCUCAGCUCCUGCAGGCUCGGAGCCUGCUGGGGGCAAGGGCCAGGUCCUUGGGCCCUGCCUUCACGUGACUAAUUUCCUGGAGUCCUGCCAAGUACAGUCUGGGUCCAGGGCCUCUGUUAACCUUUUCUCACUUGGUUACACCUCACUGGGCCCAAAGGUGUUGCAUUUGCCCUUUGGCUCCCAGAGACAUGCACCACAAGGGCUGUGGACCAAUGUCCUUUCCUCUAACCCCUCUCCGCUGCCUCCUGACUGCAAAACACCCAUUUCUCCCUUGGGAGGGUGGGGACUCUGGCUGAUGGCUCAGCCCCACAUUCAGGGCAAAGGACAGUUGGGGAGGAUUGAGCUGUCCGCCCCCUGCCUCGUCCCCCAGGUCUCCCACCAGACAGUGACCAACAACUGCUAAAUCCCUGAGGCGCCCCUCCUCCACUCCUCCUCAACUGUCUCAUAGAUUUUGGCAGCUGCCUCUCUCUCUCUGCCUCCACCUAGUACCCUCUCCCUCCAUCCCUCACCCCUUCCUAUCUUCCUCUCUCCCUCCUCCCGCAAGGUCUCCCUGGGCACCUUCCAGGCCCAGGUGCUGCACCCCUAGAAAUGACCAGGGCUCAGUCCCUGAGCUGACAUCACCCCUCCCAAUCCUGCAGGCCAGGGGAGAGACAGAGCCAGCUGGCAAAGCCCUCAGCAAGUGGCGGCAAGACCCCCAGAAGACACUGCCAAGUGCUGGAAGAUGGUGGGCCUUUCCAUCUGGAGAAAAGCUACGAUAAAUAAAAAUAAAUAUUACUCAUCAAUAAAAAGAAAUGAGCUAUCAAGCCACAAAAAGAUAUGGAGCAACCUCAAAUGCAUAUUGCUAAUCUAAUUGGAAGAAGCCAGUCUGAAAAGGCUGCAUACUGUACAAUUCCAACUCUAUGAUAUUCUGCAAAAGGCAAAACUAUAGAAACAGUAAGAUCAGUGGUUGCUGUGGGGGUUCGGGAUGAACAGGUGGAGCACAGAGGAGUUUUAGGGCAGAGACACUAUUCUGUAGGAUCCUGUAAUGGUGGAUACCUCGCAUUAUUUCUGCAAACCCAUAGGAUGUACAACACCACUAGUGAACUCUAAUGUAAAUUAUGGACUUUAGUUCAUAAUAGUGUGUCAAUACUUGUUAAUCAGUGGUAACAAACGUACUACUAUCCUCAUGCAAGAUGUCAAUGGGGAAACUGGUGGGGAGGUGGGGGUGGAGGUCACGAGGUCACUGCAAACUCUGUUCUUUCUGUGCAAUUCUGUAAAUGUAAACCUCUAAAACAGAAAGUCUAUUUUUUAAAAUGGUACACAAAAUAAUAACAACGGGGCAUUUCUUGAGAUCUCUAGGGAACAUGUCCCCCUCUUGCCCAUGCAUUUCAUGUUGGAUCCAGAAUGCAGCAGCAGCACUUUUCACAGUUGCCAAAAACUGUGGCAAGCUCAAAUGUCCAUGCACUGAUGAAAGGAAUCGCAAGAUGUGGAAUAUCCAAUAAUGGAAUAUUAUUCAGCCAUAAAAAGAAAUGCAGUAUUGAUCCACUAAAAACAUGGAUGAACUUUGAAAACAUGAUGCUAUGUGAAAGCAGCCAAUCACAAAAGGUCA